GAGGGGACUCGUCUAUGAGGUUUGCAACCAAUGAUUAGGCUGUGGGAAGACAGGAGAGGUUCACAGAGAAGGUGGCCUUGGACCCAGGUCCCAAAGUUUGAUAGCUUUUAGGGGGCAGAAAAUACAAAAGUCAGAAGAAAUCAGGUACAGAAGCAAGGAGGUGUGACGGAGCACCUUCCAGAGACAGAGGGACAGCGCCAAACCCUGAGUGCGCAGAGGGGAAGCUGGAGAUGCCGAGGCCGGGCUGCAGAGGCCGCUGUUUGAGCAGCUCAGGAUUUGGGCCUUUACGGAUUACAAAGACGGAAUGCCGGUCUUGACUUGAUGACAGAUGUGUCUGCUUUGGCCGGCACGGCUCGUGUCUCCUGCCAUUUGCGCGCCUCCUACGUUGAUCCCGGCCACCAGCCCUGCUGAUUCUGUUACACCAGGCUCCUGAAGACAUUCGAGUUUUGGGUCCCUGCAAACAGGUGUCAGAAUUAAAAUCCAGGGAAGUUAAAUGAUUUGCCCAGAGUCACGAAGCAGAAAAUGGCAGUUGGACUUAGAAUGUGACUCAUCUCAAACCAAUGGAAGGCACAGCCAGACCACAGGAGUCAGGCCACUGUGAGGACGGUGAAGAGCCAUGACUCGAGCUUGCUAAUCAAGGGGGGUUACCUGCACCUUGGUUCAACCACCAACUGAAAAACAGGCAGCGAUGAAGAAAUCUGGUGGGUACAGGUGCUCACACUCAGGACCUGCAAGCUCUUCUCAGAGGUGGCAGUGCAGCCCAGUGCCCAGUCCACAUGGAGAGAGGAGCCCACCAGGCUGGAGUGCAGUGGCACAGUCACAGCUCACUUCGGCUGCAAACUCCUGGGCUCAAGUGAUCCUUCCAUCUCAGCCUCCUAC
rnacentral:lncRNA from 1 species